AUGAACGCUGGCGGCGUGCCUAAUCCAUGCAAGUCGCGCGAACAGACGAGGAGCUUGCUCCUCUGACGUUAGCGGCGGACGGGUGAGUAACACGUGGAUAACCUACCUAUAAGACUGGGAUAACUUCGGGAAACCGGAGCUAAUACCGGAUAAUAUAUUGAACCGCAUGGUUCAAUAGUGAAAGACGGUUUUGCUGUCACUUAUAGAUGGAUCCGCGCCGCAUUAGCUAGUUGGUAAGGUAACGGCUUACCAAGGCAACGAUGCGUAGCCGACCUGAGAGGGUGAUCGGCCACACUGGAACUGAGACACGGUCCAGACUCCUACGGGAGGCAGCAGUAGGGAAUCUUCCGCAAUGGGCGAAAGCCUGACGGAGCAACGCCGCGUGAGUGAUGAAGGUCUUCGGACCGUAAAACUCUGUUAUUAGGGAAGAACAAAUGUGUAAGUAACUAUGCACGUCUUGACGGUACCUAAUCAGAAAGCCACGGCUAACUACGUG
rnacentral:rRNA from 1 species